rnacentral:ncRNA from 1 species
CCUCCGCUCUCCCCGCACAGGAGGGCGGAACGAGGCCCGAGGCGCUCUCUGCCCUGACUGCGCCGAGGCCUCCGAUCGACCGGCCUUGGGCCGGGACCGUGCCCCUACCGCACACGGGGCAGAUCCCGGCCGGCAAACGGGGUCGGCCGAUGUCAGCUCCGGGCUGCGGUGCCGGACAGGUUGAGGGUCCUGUCCCGGCGC